CAGUCGAGCGAGCUUGCCUAGAUGAAUUUGGUGCUUGCACCAGAUGAAACUAGAUACAAGCGAGCGGCGGACGGGUGAGUAACACGUGGGUAACCUGCCCAAGAGACCGGGAUAACACCUGGAAACAGAUGCUAAUACCGGAUAACAACACUAGACGCAUGUCUAGAGUUUAAAAGAUGGUUCUGCUAUCACUCUUGGAUGGACCUGCGGUGCAUUAGCUAGUUGGUAAGGUAACGGCUUACCAAGGCAAUGAUGCAUAGCCGAGUUGAGAGACUGAUCGGCCACAUUGGGACUGAGACACGGCCCAAACUCCUACGGGAGGCAGCAGUAGGGAAUCUUCCACAAUGGACGCAAGUCUGAUGGAGCAACGCCGCGUGAGUGAAGAAGGGUUUCGGCUCGUAAAGCUCUGUUGGUAGUGAAGAAAGAUAGAGGUAGUAACUGGCCUUUAUUUGACGGUAAUUACUUAGAAAGUCACGGCUAACUACGUGCCAGCAGCCGCGGUAAUACGUAGGUGGCAAGCGUUGUCCGGAUUUAUUGGGCGUAAAGCGAGUGCAGGCGGUUCAAUAAGUCUGAUGUGAAAGCCUUCGGCUCAACCGGAGAAUUGCAUCAGAAACUGUUGAACUUGAGUGCAGAAGAGGAGAGUGGAACUCCAUGUGUAGCGGUGGAAUGCGUAGAUAUAUGGAAGAACACCAGUGGCGAAGGCGGCUCUUUGGUCUGCAACUGACGCUGAGGCUCGAAAGCAUGGGUAGCGAACAGGAUUAGAUACCCUGGUAGUCCAUGCCGUAAACGAUGAGUGCUAAGUGUUGGGAGGUUUCCGCCUCUCAGUGCUGCAGCUAAC
rnacentral:rRNA from 1 species